CCUCAAGUGGUCCACCUACCUAGGCAUCCCAGAGUGCUGGGAUUACAGGUGUGAGCCAUCGCACCUGGCCAAUUAGCUGAAUUUUUUACACAUGAGACUGAGAGUAAGAAGGAUUAGGUAACUUAUGCAAGACCUCAAGCUAGGGAAAUGCAGUGUGGGGACGGGAACCCAGGCUGUUGACAUGGAUGUGACCACUGCAGUAUAUCACCUUCAUAGCAGGGAAGAUAUAUGUAUUAUAUAUCAUUUGAAUGUGGUGUAGAGCUUGGAUUAAACCAUUGUUUAUGCAAUACAUACUGAAAACAAAAGGAUUCACGAUGUUAUAAGAGAAAGGGACACAUAAAGAUAUACUAGGCAAAGGCUAACACUAAAUAAAUAGAGGUCAAAAUUGGUGGCCUUCCAAUGACUCCAGAUGACAUGAGCAGGCCACAACCAGUUUGAUUCAGCUUGAUCCCAUCUUGGCCAGCCCCACACAUUGUGAGCUGGCCCCAACAGGUCUGGUUUGAUUGGUGCCAGCUUGAAUCAGUUAGUUAGAUCUAGUUGCAGCCAGUUGGGACCAGCCUGAACUGGAUUGACCUAGUUUAAGUCCUUUUGUGUCUUCAGGCUGACUUGCCUUUCAGUCUUAGAGUUUUGGGGCUCCCUGUGGAAACUCUUCUCUUGGAAUCCUGGCUGGAUGGCUUUGCUUCAGACACUAGCGAGGGGGAGAGUUUAUUAGGGGAGGCAGAGUCCUUCUGGAGUUUGACCCUUGGAUUCCAUCCAGAGCAGCCUCCAAAAUGACACCUUUGAAGUUGUGUAUCGAGCUGGGGGAUGUAAAGGGAGGAGAAGAAAGAAGAUGAAGAGAUACCAGCCAGCCUUAAGGAGUGGACAUCCUGCCUGGUGAAACUGAACAAGACACCUACCGCAUAUGGAGUUUCGCUCUGUCGCCCAGGCUGGAGUGCAGUGGUGCCAUCUCGGCUCACCGCAACCUCCACCUCCAGGUUCAAGUGAUUCUCCUGCCUCAGCCUCUCAAGUAGCUGGGAUUACAGGAGCCCUCUCCCACCGCUCCUACACUGCUGGUAAAAGGCAGCCGCACUGCCUGCUGGAAGACCUGCCAGCUUGGGCUUCAGAGCACUUCUGCCUCAGAUCCACGACGAUCCCUUCUGUCAUCGUGGGACCUUUCCUGGGAUUUGAUUUAGGGCGACGCUUCCUCCUGUCUGUGUCCUGAGUCCUGCCUUCCCUGGCUGGUCCUCUUUGCUUAGUCACCCAGAUCAUUCCCAGACAGCUGCGCCCUGGAUAUGGCUCCUCUCAUGUGCUGCCUGGAAAUGUCUCCUCUCUUCUCACCUGCUGAGAGGUCCUUCUGGGCAGGGACUCGGGCAGAUUCAUUCCUGCCUGCCCCACAUUUCCCUAGCCCAGGGCCUGGCCCGUUGCAGUGCUGAAGGAUGAUUCUGGUAAGAAACAAGGUACUCCAGCUCACAUCUUGCAAUGAUUAUGCCUCCCCCACUCUCCCUUCUCCUUGCAGUUCUCUCUCUUCACUGAUGAUUUUGGAUGCAAUUUAAAAUAAAAAUAUUGAUUAAAAAUGGAAACUAUAUAAAUAAAAAUAAAAACACUUAACAUCAA
rnacentral:lncRNA from 1 species